rnacentral:tRNA from 1 species
GCCCGGGUGGUGGAAUUGGUAGACACAAGGGACUUAAAAUCCCUCGCCCCUUAAAGGCGUGCCGGUUCGAUUCCGGCCCCGGGUA